UUUACGGAGAGUUUGAUCCUGGCUCAGGACGAACGCUGGCGGCGUGCUUAACACAUGCAAGUCGAACGAUGAUGCCCAGCUUGCUGGGUGGAUUAGUGGCGAACGGGUGAGUAACACGUGAGUAACCUGCCCCUGACUCUGGGAUAAGCGUUGGAAACGACGUCUAAUACUGGAUAUGAUCACUGGCCGCAUGGUCUGGUGGUGGAAAGAUUUUUUGGUUGGGGAUGGACUCGCGGCCUAUCAGCUUGUUGGUGAGGUAAUGGCUCACCAAGGCGACGACGGGUAGCCGGCCUGAGAGGGUGACCGGCCACACUGGGACUGAGACACGGCCCAGACUCCUACGGGAGGCAGCAGUGGGGAAUAUUGCACAAUGGGCGAAAGCCUGAUGCAGCAACGCCGCGUGAGGGAUGACGGCCUUCGGGUUGUAAACCUCUUUUAGUAGGGAAGAAGCGAAAGUGACGGUACCUGCAGAAAAAGCACCGGCUAACUACGUGCCAGCAGCCGCGGUAAUACGUAGGGUGCAAGCGUUGUCCGGAAUUAUUGGGCGUAAAGAGCUCGUAGGCGGUUUGUCGCGUCUGCUGUGAAAUCCCGAGGCUCAACCUCGGGCUUGCAGUGGGUACGGGCAGACUAGAGUGCGGUAGGGGAGAUUGGAAUUCCUGGUGUAGCGGUGGAAUGCGCAGAUAUCAGGAGGAACACCGAUGGCGAAGGCAGAUCUCUGGGCCGUAACUGACGCUGAGGAGCGAAAGCAUGGGGAGCGAACAGGAUUAGAUACCCUGGUAGUCCAUGCCGUAAACGUUGGGCGCUAGAUGUAGGGGCCUUUCCACGGUUUCUGUGUCGUAGCUAACGCAUUAAGCGCCCCGCCUGGGGAGUACGGCCGCAAGGCUAAAACUCAAAGGAAUUGACGGGGGCCCGCACAAGCGGCGGAGCAUGCGGAUUAAUUCGAUGCAACGCGAAGAACCUUACCAAGGCUUGACAUACACCGGAAACGGCCAGAGAUGGUCGCCCCCUUGUGGUCGGUGUACAGGUGGUGCAUGGUUGUCGUCAGCUCGUGUCGUGAGAUGUUGGGUUAAGUCCCGCAACGAGCGCAACCCUCGUUCUAUGUUGCCAGCGGGUUAUGCCGGGGACUCAUAGGAGACUGCCGGGGUCAACUCGGAGGAAGGUGGGGAUGACGUCAAAUCAUCAUGCCCCUUAUGUCUUGGGCUUCACGCAUGCUACAAUGGCCGGUACAAAGGGCUGCGAUACCGUAAGGUGGAGCGAAUCCCAAAAAGCCGGUCUCAGUUCGGAUUGAGGUCUGCAACUCGACCUCAUGAAGUCGGAGUCGCUAGUAAUCGCAGAUCAGCAACGCUGCGGUGAAUACGUUCCCGGGCCUUGUACACACCGCCCGUCAAGUCAUGAAAGUCGGUAACACCCGAAGCCGGUGGCCUAACCCUUGUGGAAGGAGCCGUCGAAGGUGGGAUCGGUGAUUAGGACUAAGUCGUAACAAGGUAGCCGUACCGGAAGGUGCGGCUGGAUCACCUCCUUU
rnacentral:rRNA from 1 species